rnacentral:tRNA from 1 species
GGGGUUGUGGCUCAGUGGUAGAGUGCUCACCUAGCACAUGUGAAGCACUGGGUUCAAACCUCAGCACCACA